rnacentral:rRNA from 1 species
UGGUGACCAUAGCGAGCUGGAACCACCCCUUCCCAUCCCGAACAGGUCCGUGAAACAGCUCCGCGCCGAUGAUAGUGCGGAU